rnacentral:rRNA from 1 species
CAGCAGCCGCGGUAAUACGUAGGGUGCGAGCGUUAAUCGGAAUUACUGGGCGUAAAGCGUGCGCAGGCGGCUAUGCAAGACAGAUGUGAAAUCCCCGGGCUCAACCUGGGAACUGCAUUUGUGACUGCAUGGCUAGAGUACGGUAGAGGGGGAUGGAAUUCCGCGUGUAGCAGUGAAAUGCGUAGAUAUGCGGAGGAACACCGAUGGCGAAGGCAAUCCCCUGGACCUGUACUGACGCUCAUGCACGAAAGCGUGGGGAGCAAACAGGAUUAGAGACCCCUGUAGUCCUGUCUCUUUAACC